rnacentral:rRNA from 1 species
GAGUUUGAUCGUGGCUCAGGAUGAACGCUGGCGGCGUGCUUAACACAUGCAAGUCGAACGAAGCAUAUAGGACGGAAUAUUUCGGUAUGAAGAUUUAUAUGACUGAGUGGCGGACGGGUGAGUAACGCGUGGGUAACCUGCCUCACACAGGGGGAUAGCAGCUGGAAACGGCUGGUAAAACCGCAUAAGCGCACAGCUUCGCAUGAAACAGUGUAGAAAAACUCCGGUGGUGUGAGAUGGACCCGCGUCUGAUUAGGUAGUUGGUAAGGUAACGGCUUACCAAGCCGACGAUCAGUA